AGACAGGGAACAAACCGACUCUGCCAUGGACAAGUCCAGACCAUCAUCAUCGGCUUGGCCGGCAAAUGACUUUUACUUCAGAGACUCUUGAAUUUGAUCAUGGCCAAGCAAUCUCACAGUAACAAUGAAUUUGAUCAGAGGCAGGCAGAAGAAGAGUUUCAGGCUCGUCUCUGAAUUCAUUCAGUUCAAAGCAAGAAGACAGACAAGUCAAGUUUCAGACUCAACUCUUCUUUUUUCUCUUCAGAGUUGGACCCGACAGGGAACAAACUCCCUCACUUCUCACAUCUCAUAUCAUACAUCGCCAGAAGACACAUAGUGACACUGAUAUAUUUGACCCAAGAGUCAAACAAGAACGACACCGACACUACCAGACUAACUUCGACUGGACACGCAGCGACCAACAACCACUAGAACUCACUCACCCAUGGACGCACACGACACUGCUCAUCUUCUUCUCCUCCUGGUUGGAAUGAAAUGAGAUUCUUCAAGAGAUUCAGUCCACCUCCUCCAUCUUGCUCUCCUCGGCACCCUCCUCCUCCAGCGCCGCCAUGUCGGCGUCCUCCUCCUCCGCGCCAUCGGCGGAAUCGUCGAUGUUGAGCCCGAGCUUGAGCAUGCGGUGGAUCCUGGCGGCGAAGGUGUUGGGGUCGUCCAGGCUGAACCCGGAGGUGAGCAGCGCCGUCUCGAACAGCAGCAUCACCAGGUCCUUGACGGACUUGUCGUUCCUGUCGGCGUCGGCGCGCUUGCGGAGCUCCUCCAUGAUGCCGUUCUCCGGGUUGAUCUCCAUCGUCUUCUUGCUCGACAUGUAGGCGCCCAUGCUGCUGUCCCGCAGGGCCUGCGCCUUCAUGAUCCGCUCCAUGUUGGCCGUCCACCCGUACUCGCCGGUCACCAGGCAGCACGGCGAGUCCACGAUGCGGUCGGAUACAACGACCUUCUCCACCUUGUCGCCGAGGAUGUCCUUGAUGGUCUUGCAGAGGCCCUCGAACGCCGCCUUCUUCUCCUCCCUGCGCUUCUUUUCUUCUUCGGUUUCUUCGUCGAGCUUGAGGCCCUCCUUGGUGGCGGACACCAGCUUCUUGCCGUCGUACUCCUUGAGCUGCCCCACGGCGUACUCGUCGAUGGCGUCCACCAUGAAGAGCACCUCGUAGCCGCGCCUCUUGAGGCGCUCCAGGAAGGGCGAGUUCUCCACGGCCUUGCGGCUCUCGCCGGUGAUGUAGUAGAUGUCCUUCUGCCCCUCCUUCAUCCGGGUGACGUAGUCCUUGAGGCUGGUGAGCUCGUCGCCGCUCUUUGUCGAGUGGUAGCGGAGCAGGUCGGCGAGCUUGGCGCGGUUCUGCGAGUCCUCAUGCACGCCCAGCUUGAGGUUCUUGGAGAAGGCCUCGUAGAACUUUGCGUAGUCCUCCUUGUUCUCUGCGAUCUCGAAGAAGAGCUCGAUGCACUUCUUGACGAGGUUCUUGCGGAUGACCUUGAGGAUCUUGUUCUGCUGCAGCGUCUCGCGGGAGAUGUUGAGGGGGAGGUCGUCCGAGUCGACGACGCCCUUGACGAAGCCCAGCCACUCCGGGAUGAGCUCCUCGCAGUUGUCCAUGAUGAAGACGCGGCGCACGUAGAGCUUGAUGUUGUUCAUCUUCUUGCGGGUGUCGAAGAG
rnacentral:lncRNA from 1 species